UGGGGAAUAUUGCACAAUGGGGGAAACCCUGAUGCAGCGACGCCGCGUGAGCGAUGAAGGCUUUCGAGUCGUAAAGCUCUGUCCUAGGGGAAGAUAAUGACGGUACCAUAGAAGAAAGCCCCGGCUAAUUACGUGCCAGCAGCCGCGGUAAUACGUAAGGGGCGAGCGUUGUCCGGAAUUAUUGGGCGUAAAGAGUUCGUAGGCGGCAAAUUAAGUCAGAUGUGAAAACUAAGGGCUCAACCCAUAGAUUGCAUCUGAAACUGAUAUGCUUGAGUCAAGGAGAGGAAAGUGGAAUUCCUAGUGUAGCGGUGGAAUGCCUAGAUAUUAGGCAGAAUCCCGGUGGCGAAGGCGGCUUUCUGGACUGAAACUGACGCUGAGGAACGAAAGCGUGGGGAGCAAACAGG
rnacentral:rRNA from 1 species